rnacentral:rRNA from 1 species
CGGCGGACGGGUGAGUAACACGUGGAUAACCUACCUAUAAGACUGGGAUAACUUCGGGAAACCGGAGCUAAUACCGGAUAAUAUAUUGAACCGCAUGGUUCAAUAGUGAAAGACGGUUUUGCUGUCACUUAUAGAUGGAUCCGCGCCGCAUUAGCUAGUUGGUAAGGUAACGGCUUACCAAGGCAACGACGCGUAGCCGACCUGAGAGGGUGAUCGGCCACACUGGAACUGAGACACGGUCCAGACUCCUACGGGAGGCAGCAGCC